rnacentral:rRNA from 1 species
GACGAACGCUGGCGGCGUGCUUAACACAUGCAAGUCGAACGGAAAGGCCCUGCUUUUGUGGGGUGCUCGAGUGGCGAACGGGUGAGUAACACGUGAGUAACCUGCCCUUGACUUUGGGAUAACUUCAGGAAACUGGGGCUAAUACCGGAUAGGAGCUCCUGCUGCAUGGUGGGGGUUGGAAAGUUUCGGCGGUUGGGGAUGGACUCGCGGCUUAUCAGCUUGUUGGUGGGGUAGUGGCUUACCAAGGCUUUGACGGGUAGCCGGCCUGAGAGGGUGACCGGCCACAUUGGGACUGAGAUACGGCCCAGACUCCUACGGGAGGCAGCAGUGGGGAAUAUUGCACAAGGGGCGGAAGCCUGAUGCAGCAACGCCGCGUGCGGGAUGACGGCCUUCGGGCUGUAAACCGCUUUCGCCUGUGACGAAGCGUGAGUGACGGUAAUGGGUAAAGAAGCACCGGCUAACUACGU